UCCACAGCAGCUGCAGCCAGAAGCUGUUUCUACAGGAUCCUGAUGGACACUCAAAGCUUUUAGAAAAUGUCCUCAUUAGUUGUUUGCAGCAGAAUAUCAACCGAUGUGAACCAAAACAACAAAAGUGCUCUGCACAAGUGGUGUGUGAGACUACAGAUUAAAACUUAAACUCCAGCCUGAUGCGUUUCUGAGGUUCCUGACUCUGACCGUCCCUCAAACGCCUCUCUGGGCGUUUCCUUCCGUCGCUUUUACUUUCGUGAAUGUUGUGGCGCAGUUGAUCGUCUCCAUGUUAAGACUAACUCCACCCUGACAUCAAGAAGAUGGAGGAAGAGGUUGGAGCAGGAUCUGCAGCAUCCAGCUGUGUGUCUGUGAGGAGUGACUGCUCCAAAGAUCAACCUCCAGACUUCAGUAAUGAACCUGCAGCAACAAUGAUCAAUAAGAGGCCAGAAUCUCCUGGACCUGAACCCAGCUGUGUUUCCUUAAAGAGCAACGACUCGAAGGAUAUCGGUAUAAACUUUAAAGGCUGUUCUUCUGCUGCUGAGAGAGGUCAGAGGUCACAGUCUGCAGGAUCCAGCUGUCCGUCGGUGAGGAGUGAAUGGUCCAAAGAUCACCCUCCAGACUUCAGUGCUGAACCAACGAGGUCAGAGACCUGUGAUGACUCCUUUACAUGUUUGUGUUUUCCUGGA